GCCGCGGGCAGCCUGGUGGCGACGCUUCAGUCGGUGGGUAAGUGUUGGGUGGGCGGUGGACAGGUCGGGGGAGGGGUGGGGGAGCGCAGGAUAGUGGGGAGAGGAGCAGAGCGAGGAGGGCGUUCACCCCAGAGGCUAAGCCUGAGGGAGGGCUCAGCUCCCUCCAGUUCCGUGGUUCUCAUCCUCCCGGGUCCUUUGUCCCUCACUGUCCUCUUUCUGGCUCCUUCUGAGUGAAGUUUGGUGAGAAUGGAGGGGUAAGGGGCUCUGAGAUCUGAGAGGGAGAAGAAGGGAAGGAGCCCAGGGCUCUGGGUACAGCCCUACCCAAAUCUGACACGGGAGUGGCCUAGGUGGGUCCUUUCCCCUCCGGGCCUCAGUGGCCUCCUGUGUAAGGUGAGGGGACCGGUUGCUCACUGGAUCUUUGGCUGACUGUCCUCUGUCUCUAACUUCCCAUAGAUUCACCCCCUCUCCUGUCUUUGCCACCUCCAGCAUCGUCUCCCCAAAGUGGAGCCCUGGGGGUUUCAGAACCUAGCGGAGGGAUCCAGGUCUCUGGGCCUCAGACAUCCAGAGGGGUCGGGGCCACUGGCCACUGCAGGUUCCAGGACUCACCCUCUGUCUAUUCCUCAGGGGCAGCUGGACUCUCCACAUCAUCCAACAUCCUCCUGGCCUCCAUUGGGUCAGCUUUUGGAGCCUUGCUGGGAGGCUCAAAAAAGGAACCUUCUUCCUCUUCCCCAGCAGAACCCGGGUCUGAAGGGGAACAGCCAGGAGAAACUGAAUCCCAAGUUCAACCUCCAAACCCCCCGCUCAGUUCAGAGAAACAGGAGAAAUAAAAAUCGUGUGUGGAUGCACC
rnacentral:lncRNA from 1 species